rnacentral:rRNA from 1 species
ACUGCCCUAUGGGUUGUAAACUGCUUUUGUACGGGAAUAAACCCUUCUACGUGUAGAAGGCUGAAUGUACCGUAAGAAUAAGGAUCGGCUAACUUCGUGC